rnacentral:rRNA from 1 species
AGCAACGCGAAGAACCUUACCAGGUCUUGACAUCCUUUGACCACCCUAGAGAUAGGGCUUUCCCCUUCGGGGGACAAAGUGACAGGUGGUGCAUGGUUGUCGUCAGCUCGUGUCGUGAGAUGUUGGGUUAAGUCCCGCAACGAGCGCAACCCUUGACCUUAGUUGCCAGCAUUUAGUUGGGCACUCUAAGGUGACUGCCGGUGACAAACCGGAGGAAGGUGGGGAUGACGUCAAAUCAUCAUGCCCCUUAUGACCUGGGCUACACACGUGCUACAAUGGAUGGUACAAAGGGAAGCAAAACCGCGAGGUCGAGCCAAUCCCAUAAAGCCAUUCUCAGUUCGGAUUGUAGGCUGCAACUCGCCUGCAUGAAGCCGGAAUUGCUAGUAAUCGCGGAUCAGCAUGCCGCGGUGAAUACGUUCCCGGGCCUUGUACACACCGCCCGUCACACCACGAGAGUUUGUAACACCCGAAGUCGGUGGGGUAACCUUUUGGAGCCAGCCGCCUAAGGUGGG